rnacentral:tRNA from 1 species
GGUUUAAGUAAGUGUCUGAGUGCAAAUCGGAUAUUGGGCUUUGUGGCCCUUGAGCCU